AUGACUAAAGAUCUUACCAGCAAGAUGCAUCUGAAGCAAAAAUUAUUCCUGCACAGGUUACCUGAGGGAGGUAAUGUUUUGAAUCAUAUUUCAGAAUUUAAAGAGAUCAUAUCUGAUCUAGCUGCAAUGGAGGUUAAGUAUGAAGAGGAAGAUACAGCUUUAAUGUUACUUUGUUCACUGCCAAGUUCUUAUACCAAUUUUAGAGACACCAUAUUAUACAAUCGUGAUACUCUCACGCUCAAUGAAGUUUAUGGAGCUUUGAACUCUAAGGAGAAGAUGAAAUUAACGGUGCCUCAUGAUGGUUCAAGUUCAUCCCAAGCCGAGGGAUUAUCGGUUCGUGGCAGGACAAAGGAGAAGAACUUCAAUAAUGGAAACAGAGGCAAAAGUAAGAACGGCCACAGGGGCCGGUCGCAAUCCAGAGACAAGAAGUAUUGCAGAUAUUGCAAGAGAGGCGGGCAUGCCAUCUCAGAGUGUUUCAAGUUGCAGAACAAGGAAAAGAGAAAAGGUAACAAACCAGGUGAAAAUUCUGCUAACGUUGCUCGUGAUGAUAGUUCCGAUGAUGCUCUUGUCGUUAUUGCUGGAUGCGCUGAGACCAAUGAUGAGUGGGUACUUGACACUGCAUACACUUUUCAUAUGUGUCCACAUAGAGAUUGGUUUAAUACUUUUGAUUCCACUACUGCUGUUGGUUCCGUUUUGGGUUUUGAUAAUUCACCAUGCAAGAUUGAAGGCAUAGGUUCUAUUCGAAUCAAGAUGUUUGAUGGCAUAAUCAGAACUUUGACAGAUGUUCGGUAG
rnacentral:rRNA from 1 species